rnacentral:lncRNA from 1 species
AUUGUAUAUUAUGAGUACUUUAUUCCAAUGUGGUACUUUUUUCAUUCAGGGGUGUGCUAAAAGAGUUAUGAGAAGUCGAGACUGGAAUUGACACACCACAAGAUUUACAGUCACCUUCACAAAUUUGUUCAUCGAUGAACUGUAUCGGUGUCUCCAUUCACCUUCGAUAUAUUUUCGCGUCCUUAGUCAGCAAAUACCAGAAAAGUCUUCCGAUAUGUACAUUUAGCAAUGUGUAUUAAUGAUUUUCACGGGGUUCGGAUUUGCAUGGCGAUUUGUGCAUGCAUAUCAGGAGACGCUUACCUUGUAGAUGCACACGAUCUCACUGCUUUAAGUGUGUAUCUAAACAUUCCCGUCCAGGUUUCUUUUUGAACCCAAACGAUAUGGCAAAUGUAAAUUGAUACAGAUCUUCUUUAGGAUGUAUCGUGUCUUCUGAUUUGCUGAGAGUGUUUUGUUUAUCAUCUCAUAGACAUAAUUCAGUCAUGUGACCGUGACGUCAUCA